GCACAGGAAGCACAAAGCUCUGGUUACCACUGGAAGCCAUCUCAUCCCCAUAAACCAGCCUUAGGAUGCCACUGAUGCUGGAUGGCAGAAUGGAGUAACAGAGAGAAUUUGCAGAAUAAAGAAGGGACAAUGCAGUCGCCAGGUCAGCAUUAAGGGAAGGUUUGGCUGCAUCGUCUGCCACUCUGCUGCUGCUGACUCUGCCAGUGAGGACAGCGCAUGCUUCCUUCUACGCUUGCCUGAAGUUAGUAACUUCAGAGCCCCACAGCAUUUCUGGAAGGAGUAAAAUGAGCUACAUGGUCCAGGUAGCUACUCCUAGGUAGAGUUCGCAAUCAAAGGAAUAGAAGCUGGGGAAGACAAUAAAGCAGUCUUCUUCUUGA